CUCAACACGAUGGCCACGGA
rnacentral:miRNA from 1 species